UUUACUUGGUAAAACCUUUUUGGGUCAAAACUUUCUCAGUUUUUGCUGUGAAGUGGAAGCCAUCUUUUACUUUUAGUAGCUUUGUUUGUGCAUUUCUCCAUCUUCUUUGAAGAUUUUGUUUCCUGAUUUGCCAACUACAACCGCUACAACCUGCCAAGAUGCCUCGUGGCAAAGGGUACCGUAAAGCUCAGGCCUUGAAGAGCAGACAGUUUAUGCCGAAGCCUGUGGAGGAGCUGUUCGAGGUUGUGCCAAGCUGUACGGCUUUUACUCCACGUCACGGAACAGGCUUCAGGCACAGGGUUUGUCGUUGGCCCUUGUCGCCUAACACAGGCAAAAGCUUGAAGGUUGUCAUCCCAC